AUGGUUGGAAAAGAAGGACUGUACUUCUCUGGCGAUCUAUAUGAUGUACAUGUGUUGAGUUGUGGGGAUCAUGGGUCAAGUGAUACUAUGUGCAUCGAUUUUUGCCAAUGUAGAACAACCUUUGUUCUGUCAGUGUGCCCGGCGCCGACGUGGCUUCUCGGGCCGCCUCAGCAGGUGAUCAACUGGGUCACGUCGUACUUGGGGUUGCGCCGGCGAGCCCGCUUUGCUGAGGCAGAUACAUCGGCGGCGAUCGACGGCGAGGAGGGGAGCGGAGGAGCACCCAGAAAAUUUGAACAGAGGGAGAAAGAGGGUGUGUGGGUUUCAGAGAAAGCAGAGGGUGUUACGCCACCUGCACAUAUGGACGUACCAAAUCCAGCCAAAGUUUCAAAUUCUAGAGGAUUUUGGCGACAUAUAUAUACGGUGCCGCUCUCCUCAAACGAGCGCAGCUAA
rnacentral:rRNA from 1 species